rnacentral:tRNA from 2 species
AGGCAUGUAGCUCAGUGGGAGAGCGCUUCCUUGACACGGAAGAGGUCGGCGGUUCAAUCCCGCCCAUGCCUACCA